CCCUUAGAUGUUCUGGGCUGCACGCGCGCUACACUGAUGCGUUCAACGAGUGUAUCACCUUGCCCGAUAGGGUUGGGUAAUCUUUUGAACACGCAUCGUGAUGGGGAUAGAUUAUUGCAAUUAUUAAUCUUCAACGAGGAAUUCCUAGUAAUGAUGAAUCAUCAGUUCAUCGUGAUUACGUCCCUGCCCUUUGUACACACCGCCCGUCGCACCUACCGAUUGAAUGGUCCGGUGAAGCCUCCGGAUUGGCGCGCACCUCGGUGCCGCCGAGAAGUUGGCUAAACCUUACCAUUUAGAGGAAGGUGAAGUCGUAACA
rnacentral:rRNA from 1 species